AUUUGUUUGUCAGGUCUAUGAUCUACUUUCGAGAAACCACAACUCAGGCACAUGCCACACAUUGCAACACAUUUUCCGGGCUUACGAAUUACAGCUGCAUGUGUGUCUGCGGUUUCGGAUCAGUAAACAGAAAAGAAAACUUUUAUGAUGGACAUGUUAAAUAAGAUCUCGGACCACCAAGUGCUAACCAAGCGAUUGCCCAAUCGGCAAACCCAUCGGAUCCGUUGGCAGCCGUUCAAUUAACGUUUGUCUAAGAAAUUGUGGCACUUUGUGGUUAUGCCGGGUGAGCAUGACUGGACUAAUUUCCCUGUGGCCAAACUGCAGGAGGGGAAGACGCAUGGCCAAUGGACAUCUCAUGAGGUACUGCUGCUGCUGCUGCUAACUUUGGCCAACUUGUUGGGCAAUUGUGCGUGUAAUUUUGGGCGAAAACCAGUUGACCAAUGCAUCCGAUUUCAGCACAAGAGCAAGUCAAGCGGAGAUUGAUGCGAUAACAAGCGCAGAUUCCUCGACCAGCCUCAAAAACUAUUUACGACCGAAAAAAAAGCUGACCAACAAAUAAAAUUAGCUGCCGCACAGCCCUUUAUUUUUAAAGGCCUUGCGUGCCCCAAGUUAAUUACGGCCCCAAAGCAAAAAUAUAUAUUAACUGGCGACUGGACUCACUGGUGGCCCCUCUUUCAUGACCUACAUACUUGUUGACGGUCUUGCUCCCGAGCACGCAGACUCUACAUAUGUAUCUGAACACCUCCGUCUGUAUCUGACAGAUGCCUUUGGUUGGGUGAUGGUUACAUAACCGGCAAAUAAAACUAUUGUGGGAAAUAUACAAA